rnacentral:rRNA from 1 species
GGAUCAUUAAGAAAUUUAAUAAUUUUGAUAUUGGAUUUUUUUGUUUUGGCAAGAGCGUGAGAGCUUUUACUGGGCAAGAAGACAAGAGAUGGAGAGUCCAGCCGGGCCUGCGCUUAAGUGCGCGGUCUUGCUAGGCUUGCAAGUUUCUUUCUUGCUAUUCCAAACAGUGAGACUUCUCUGUUUUUGUUAUAGGACAAUUAAAACCGUUUCAAUACAACACACUGUGGAGUUUUUAUACUUUUGCAACUUUUUCUUUGGGUUUCGAGCAAUCGAGCCCAGAGGUAACAAACACAAACAAUUUUAUUUAUUCAUUAAAUUUUUGUCAAAAACAAGAAUUUUCGUAACUGGAAAUUUUAAAAAUAAUUAAAAACUUUCAACAACGGAUCUCUUGGUUCUCGCAUCGAUGAAGAACGCAGCGAAAUGCGAUACGUAAUGUGAAUUGCAGAAUUCCGUGAAUCAUCGAAUCUUUGAACGCACAUUGCGCCCCUUGGUAUUCCAGGGGGCAUGCCUGUUUGAGCGUCAUUUCCUUCUCAAACAUUCUGUUUGGUAGUGAGUGAUACUCUCUGGAGUUAACUUGAAAUUGCUGGCCUUUUCAUUGGAUGUUUUUUUUCCAAAGAGAGGUUUCUCUGCGUGCUUGAGGUAUAAUGCAAGUACGGUCGUUUUAGGUUUUACCAACUGCGGCUAAUCUUUUUUGUACUGAGCGUAUUGAAACGUUAUCGAUAAGAAGAGAGCGUCUAGGCGAACAAUGUUCUUAAAGUUUGACCUCAAAUCAGGUAGGAGUACCCCGCUGAACUUAAGCAUAUCAAUAAGCGGAGGA